rnacentral:rRNA from 1 species
CCUUGGGUGACGAGUGGCGGACGGGUGAGUAAUGUCUGGGAAACUGCCCGAUGGAGGGGGAUAACUACUGGAAACGGUAGCUAAUACCGCAUAACGUCGCAAGACCAAAGAGGGGGACCUUCGGGCCUCUUGCCAUCGGAUGUGCCCAGAUGGGAUUAGCUAGUAGGUGGGGUAACGGCUCACCUAGGCGACGAUCCCUAGCUGGUCUGAGAGGAUGACCAGCCACACUGGAACUGAGACACGGUCCAGACUCCUACGGGAGGCAGCAGUGGGGAAUAUUGCACAAUGGGCGCAAGCCUGAUGCAGCCAUGCCGCGUGUAUGAAGAAGGCCUUCGGGUUGUAAAGUACUUUCAGCGAGGAGGAAGGCGUUGUGGUUAAUAACCGCAACGAUUGACGUUACUCGCAGAAGAAGCACCGGCUAACUCCGUGCCAGCCGCCGCGGUAA